AAGAGACAGCAGUAGCCGCGGGAAUACAGAGGGUGCGAGCGUUAAUCGGAUUUACUGGGCGUAAAGCGUGCGUAGGCGGCUAAUUGAGUCGGAUGUGAAAUCCCCGAGCUUAACUUGGGAAUUGCAUUCGAUACUGGUUAGCUAGAGUGUGGGAGAGGAUGGUAGAAUUCCAGGUGUAGCGGUGAAAUGCGUAGAGAUCUGGAGGAAUACCGAUGGCGAAGGCAGCCAUCUGGCCUAACACUGACGCUGAGGUACGAAAGCAUGGGGAGCAAACAGGAUUAGAUACCCCAGUAGUCCCUGUCUCUUAUAA
rnacentral:rRNA from 1 species